rnacentral:rRNA from 1 species
CCAAUAGCGUAUAUUAGUGUUGUUGCGGUUAAAAAGCUCGUAGUUGAAUUUCGGGAUUGGGAUAUAUCGAUCGUGCCUUUAGGGGCAUGAAAUGGUGUGUAGCCAAUUUCUCACCUUCUGGUGAGUCGGGAUGCUCUUGGGUGUUUCGAUGAAUCAGGACCUUUACUUUGAAAAAAUUAGAGUGUUUAAAGCGGGCAUUU